CGCUUCCUUCCACCGUUCCCACCUUUCUCAACAGCGCCCCGCCCUCCGGGGAGGAGGCGGCACGACCCGGCCUGCGUGGACGCCGCCCCUCGGCUCUGCGCCCGUGUCCCGGUCUGCGACACCGGGCGACCCCAGACCGCAGGGGGAUCGGGGAAUCCCGCACGGCGCGUGGGGAGCGCCCACGGUCCCCGAGGGGUCUCCUUCCCCCCGAGCCUCGGGAGCGACCCCGGGCCUGGGGGCCGCAUCGCCCCUCCGCCCGGACGGUGCCCAAGCUGAGACCGGCCUCCCUGCGCCGCCCCAGCCGGCCCGGGAACGGGGCGCACCCACCGUGUGAAGCCCCCGCCCAUGGGGAAACCCCGCGCCCCCGCCAGGGCGGACCGAGGGCCCGGGCGCUGCUGCCGCCGCCGCUGGUGCUGCUGCUCGCGGCCGCGCGGUCGGGACGCGCAGAGUUCCAGAUAGACUGCACACGAGUCAGAAUGACCCAUUAAGUGGAGGUGUGGCGUAAUUUUCAGAAGCAUUCAAAGCUGCUUGAGACUACCUCAGAAGACACUUGCAGUUGAAAGAAAGCAUGCCCCAGUGCCAUGAGCUGAGCAGCACCCUGGGAAUAACUGUAAACCCUCCUGGGGGAUUCUUG
rnacentral:lncRNA from 1 species